rnacentral:rRNA from 1 species
CCUACGGGAGGCAGCAGUGGGGAAUAUUGCACAAUGGGGGAAACCCUGAUGCAGCGACGCCGCGUGAGUGAAGAAGUAAUUCGUUAUGUAAAGCUCUAUCAGCAGGGAAGAAAAUGACGGUACCUGAGUAAGAAGCCCCGGCUAACUACGUGCCAGCAGCCGCGGUAAUACGUAGGGGGCAAGAGUUAUCCGGAUUUACUGGGUGUAAAGGGAGCGUAGACGGCAGUGCAAGUCUGGAGUGAAAGGCGGGGGCUCAACCCCCGGACUGCUCUGGAAACUGUACGGCUGGAGUGCAGGAGAGGUAAGUGGAAUUCCUAGUGUAGCGGUGAAAUGCGGAGAUAUUAGGAGGAACACCAGUGGCGAAGGCGGCUUACUGGACUGUAACUGACGUUGAGGCUCGAAAGCGUGGGGAGCAAACAGGAUUAGAUACCCCAGUAGUC